CUAAUUAAAACAAAGAAUUGCGAUGGCCCUCGAGAGUGGUGUUGACGCAAUGUGAUUUCUGCCCAGUGCUCUGAAUAUCAACGUGAAGAAAUUCAAAAAA